AUUGAACGCUGGCGGCAUGCCUUACACAUGCAAGUCGAACGGCAGCACGGGAGCAAUCCUGGUGGCGAGUGGCGAACGGGUGAGUAAUAUAUCGGAACGUGCCCAGUAGUGGGGGAUAACUGCUCGAAAGAGCAGCUAAUACCGCAUACGACCUGAGGGUGAAAGGGGGGGAUCGCAAGACCUCUCGCUAUUGGAGCGGCCGAUAUCAGAUUAGCUAGUUGGUGGGGUAAAGGCCUACCAAGGCAACGAUCUGUAGUUGGUCUGAGAGGACGACCAGCCACACUGGGAAUGAGACACGGCGCAGACUCCUACGGGAGGCAGCAGUGGGGAAUUUUGGACAAUGGGCGCAAGCCUGAUCCAGCAAUGCCGCGUGCAGGAAGAAGGCCUUCGGGUUGUAAACUGCUUUUGUCAGGGAAGAAAUCCUCUAGGUUAAUACCCUUGGGGGGAUGACGGUACCUGAAGAAUAAGCACCGGCUAACUACGUGCCAGCAGCCGCAGUAACAC
rnacentral:rRNA from 1 species